UGUGGGGGCUUUAGAAAUAAAGCCAACAGGAGUUGUGAUGGCAAUGGAAGUAGACAAAGGAUUAGCAACAACAGAAGUAAUAAUUGGUUCCACAUGAGGUGGAGGUGGCAAAAUAUUCAUCCCAGGAUUCUCAGAAGCUGAAGUCUUUUUUCUUUUUCUAGGUUUUGGAUCAGCAGAAGUUAGAUUGCCCGAUGAUGUUACCAUUUUCGUAUCAAGCACAGAAGUUGUCCCAGUAAAAACACUAGCACAGGCUCCACUCUGAACCAUGGGACUUGUCAGCUUUGCACCAGAUAAAUGGGGCACAGAUGAUUCUUUUACAGGUGUCAAUUGAACAGUUUCAGUGAUAGGCGAUUGCACAGAAAAACGACCACUUACGUCAAGAGUAGAAGUCUGUGGAGAUGCAACCCAAGGGCNGGGAGCCUGAGAUAGCCAAGAAGGGCUAUGUCCAACAAAAUUCCUGAUAACCGGAGCUUGAUGAGGAUGCAAAGGAGAAAGUGCUCGUUGAUAAUCCAUAACUGGACUCCUUGUCAUGCCACUUGUUUGCAUGGUGUCACUAGGAGUAGGCAUGCUCCAAAGUGGUGAAGAGAGGGGUACAAUUGGAUUCACAAUUGUAGGAGUACCCUUGCUGCUGCCACGAACAACAGGUGGAGAGACUGCUUUACUUUGAAGUGCAUUUUGUUUAAUUGAUUGCUCGGGAGCACUAGCACCUGAACGGGAUUGCAAAGGUGUCUCAGGGGUAAUGAGAGGCGACUUUUGACCGUGAAGCCUUUCUAUACACAAGCGCCAGGUAUUCUCCCAAAUGCUCCUACCACCAUCGGGUCCUCCAAAUGCAGAUAUCAUAUAUGCUUCAUCAGGUGGCGUUCCUUGAAUCAAAGCUCCAUAAACAAAUAUCUGAGCCCGCAAUUGCACUUGCUGUAAAUCUGUGAAAGGUUGCUGAAACACUGCAGCUAGAGACACUGAAGAAUUCAAAUCUGGCAGACCAGAAGUCGAUGGUGCAAGAACAAAUGGUUUUACAUUACAGGAGUCCAAAUGUCCAUAGCGUUGCAUCUCAUUGGAUUGCACAAGUUGAGAAACACCAGAUGUGCUCAGGGAAACAUUGGUUAUUUUGUCUCCUCUAUCUGAUCUCAUAGAUGAAGCUACUUUAACAGGAUUUCCCUUCUUAGCAGUUUCUUUUGCUGUCGACUUACCUGAAGC
rnacentral:misc_RNA from 1 species